CGUUCAACCACUGAGCCACCCAGAUGUCCCUAUGUCCCUAAAAAAAAAAUUUUUUUAAAAAGGCUAUGGUGCUUCAAGAAGGGGACAUUCAGUGGCAAGAAGAAAGAAAGGAAGAGACAAAGCAUCACCAAGCCAUUCCGGGCACCUGAAGAGCUUGCAGGCACCAGUCCUUCCCCAUGGCCUGUGAAUUAGAGGACCCACAGGAUUUUCCUUUCUCCUUUUCUGGAGGGCCCGGGGUCCAACUGGCUCUAAAACUAAAUAUUACAAAGAGAUAGGGAAUGCGCAGUAUUGCAGAGUGGAAUUGGUCAGUUCGGGGUUUGAAUAUUUCUAUGUGACUUUGAAUUCCUGACUUAACCCUAAGCCUCAGAAACUCCAUCAGUAGAACAGAGAUUUUAUAGCUGCCUCCCACGGUUGACUCUGCCUGGAACGAAGUCAACAGACAACAAAAGUUAGCUGCUGCAAAGGGAUGAUAAGGAACUUCUUUUACUUUCGGGGAUUGGGUGGCUUUUAUUUUUUUCUCUGCAGCACUGGGGUGGGAAAUCCAGUCUUACUAAUUCUAUUCCAGACCCAUCUUCCUUCCUCCCUGAAGGGCUGAGCAGACAGGCAGAGUGAGUGGGCAAAUCUACCCCUUCUUCCUGGAAUCUGCUUCCUUCACCACCACCCCUUAUCUGCCCAGUUCCCUGAUAACACCCUCAGUAAUUGGGCUGUUUGGCUGCAAAUCCCAAGGGAGUGAAGCUUGGGACUUCCCCUCUGCCCUCAAUCCCCAGAGCUGUGUGAUGUACGGUGGGUGUGUGAGAUGCACAAAGACAGGACCAUGGCUCCAGGGCCACUUCUGCUUUUAGAAUACUGGUGCAUUUUUUAUUAAAGAAGAGAAUAAAGCAUUUGUAAAUAUA